rnacentral:rRNA from 1 species
GACGAACGCUGGCGGCGUGCUUAACACAUGCAAGUCGAGCGGUAAGGCCCUUUCGGGGGUACACGAGCGGCGAACGGGUGAGUAACACGUGGGUGACCUGCCCUCAGCUCUGGGAUAAGCCUGGGAAACCGGGUCUAAUACCGGAUAUGACUCCAUGACGCAUGUUGUGGGGUGGAAAGCCUUGUGCGGCUGAGGAUGGGCCCGCGGCCUAUCAGCUUGUUGGUGGGGUGAUGGCCUACCAAGGCGACGACGGGUAGCCGGCCUGAGAGGCGACCGGCCACACUGGGACUGAGACACGGCCCAGACUCCUACGGGAGGCAGCAGUGGGGAAUCUUGCGCAAUGGGCGAAAGCCUGACGCAGCGACGCCGCGUGGGGAUGACGGCCUCGG